GUGCUCGAUUCAGCAGCAUGUAUACUAAAAUUGGAAUGAUACAGAGAAGGUUAACAUGGCCCAGGGCAAGGAUGACACGUAAAUUCGUGAAGCGUUAAAGAAAAAA